AUUGAACGCUGGCGGCCGGCCUAACACAUGCAAGUCGAACGAGUGGCGGACGGGUGAGUAAUGGCUGGGAAACUGCCUGAUGGAGGGGGCUAACUCCUGGAAACGGUAGCUAAUACCGCAUACCAUCAGGUUGUCCCCGAUUGGAUGUGCUUGUUGGUGGGGUAACAGCUCACCCAGGCGACGAUCCCUAGCUGGUCUGGGAGGCUGACCAGCCACACUGGAACUGGGACACGGUCCAGACGCCUACGGGAGGCAGCAGGGGGGAAUAGUGCACAAGGGGCGCAAGCCUGAUGCAGCCAUGCCGCGUGUAUGAAGAAGGCCUUCGGGUGGUAAAGUACUUUCAGCGGGGAGGCGUUACCCGCAGAAGAAGCACCGGCUAACUCCGUGCCAGUAGCCGCGGUAAUAC
rnacentral:rRNA from 1 species